rnacentral:tRNA from 1 species
GGGCUCGUGGCGCAGCUAGGUAGCGCAGCAGGCUUUUAACCUGAAGAACAAGGGAGUCUCCUCUUGUUUCG